CGGGAUGCUCCAGCAGUGAGGAAUAUUGCACAAUGGGGGGAACCCUGAUGCAGCAACGCCGCGUGGAGGAUGACACAUUUCGGUGCGUAAACUCCUUUUAUAGGUCAAGAUAAUGACGGUAGCCUAUGAAUAAGCGCCGGCUAACUCCGUGCCAGCAGCCGCGGUAAUACGGAGGGCGCAAGCGUUACUCGGAAUCACUGGGCGUAAAGAGCAUGUAGGCGGGUUAAUAAGUCAGAAGUGAAAUCCAAUAGCUCAACUAUUGAACUGCUUUUGAAACUGUUAACCUAGAGUGUGGGAGAGGUAGAUGGAAUUUCUGGUGUAGGGGUAAAAUCCGUAGAGAUCAGAAGGAAUACCGAUUGCGAAGGCGAUCUACUGGAACAUUACUGACGCUGAGAUGCGAAAGCGUGGGGAGCAAACAGGAUUAGAUACCCUCGUAGUC
rnacentral:rRNA from 1 species